GACCGCGGGGAGGGAAGUGGCCACAGAGCGAGUCUUACUGCUUCCUCAGGUUAAAAGAAAAUAAAGAAUUAAAGCUGCAAUUCCGCGCACAGCUCUGAGAAGCGUUGGCUCGGAUUGGCUUGGUUCCAUUAUAUAAGGAAUGGACUUCUUCAGGAAAGCAAGAACUUCAUUACCAUGUGGGCAGAAACCACCAAGUGAGGGUAACCGGCCAUCCAAAAUGAGCAACCACUCCAACCCUUGAAAAAAUAACUUCUGAAGUUAGAGCUGAGACAGCCAACACAAAUCUGUGAAAUAACUUUGGGCAUGUUCUCUCAGAAGAGGCAUAGAAGAAGAAAAGAUGAAAUGUGGCAAAGCAGAAUUAUUGGUAAUAGAAUGUAAAGCUGCUUUUACGCUGCCUCAUUUUGCAUCCAGUGUAUUAUUUCUCACUUUCAGGACUGUCUGAAUUCACACAUAAAGCCAGUAGAAGCAAACUACAUAAUUGUUUGAAACAAGGGAAAUAAAAGCGGACUUUUUGAUGUAAUGGUGUUUUAAGCAACAAUUAUUUUAAGCAGAAAUAAUUAGAUUUCCCUUCAGUAGCAUAUAAUAGCAUAUAUUUAGGGACAAAAUCAAAAUAUAUAUCAACAUUAUUCCCUCACACGGAAACAAGUAUGGGGAAGAGUCUGAAGGAUGGAGACCAAGGAAGUGCUGCUCAUAUAAUUUUUCCCAAAGCAGUUUGAUUCAGAGGUCUGAUGGAAACCCACUCACAUCACAAGGAUUGAAGAGAGCACAAAGGAGAAAAAAUACAAAACAUUGAAAGAAAAAUGGAGGAAAAGAAGACCACUAACCACAAACAAAAACUACAUCACUGGUCAAGCAUGCUGAUGGCUACUAACAGUGGAGCCAGGAUCAUUGCUUCUGUAAAGUUGGAUAGGAGGCUGUUUAUUGGAUGUUAUUAAAGAUGUAAACAAAUAGAAUACUUUAGGCUCCUACUAAGACGUUGGAUUCAAAAGGUUCUAUUCUUUUUCGGUCUCUUCAAGUCUGUUUCAGCAGACCUGUUCAUGUUAGUCACAGCUUGUUUAAUAUUCCAUCUGAGUUAGUCCUCAUUAGUAGUAAUUUAACUGACAAAUCUAAUGUCACAUACAACCUAGUAUCGCCAAAACUGUGCUUUCCAUUACCAUUUUUGUUUUAGCAUGCACAAUAUACUGUGACCCAUGCCAGUCUUAUUUUCAAUGCACAGCUCUGGAAAUGGCAUUCUGCUGAAGUGAAAUUCUCACAUUCUUCUUCAGCUGCUGCUUAAAGGGAAACUGGCUACUGAAUCAAUAAACCAAAGCACUUAUCUAGUCAGAAAAACGUGGAUAGUGUGCAGUGCUAGGAAGGAUCUGUGUGGACACUGCUGGUACAAGCUGUUCCUCAUCUAUGUCUAUACAUACCAUAAACCAAAUAUGCCAAGUCUGUUACUAUUCUUAAUGAAAAACUGAAGUCUACAUAGUGAGUGAUGAAACUUAAAUUCAGUUCUAAAUCUUUACCAAGCCACAGUAAAAGCCAAUCAUCACUUGUUUCAAAUAGGAAGAAAUGAAUGCUUUGUUCUCAAAGUGUUGCUAAGUUCAUGUACUGAUUUUUCAGGGGGAAAACGUUAGCAACUUAAGAAUAUGUACUGAGUUUGCAUGGCAAGGUUUUGGUAGUGAGGGCACUACAGAGGUGGCUACUGUGAGAAACUGCCAGAAACUUCCCUCAUGUCCGGCAGAGCCAACGCCAGAUGGCUCCAGGACAGAUCUGCAGCUGGCCAAGGCCAAGCCCAUCAGCCGGUGGCAGGGCUUCUGAGGUAACAGAUUUAAGAAGAGGGAAAAAAAAAAAACCUGCUGUGGGGGGAACAGGAGUGGAGAGAGGAGUAAGAAUAUUUGAGAGGAACACCUGUUCAGACACUGAGGUCAGUGCAGAAGGAGGGGGAGGAGAUGCAGAGAUUCCCGUACAGCCCAUGGUGCAGAUCAUGGUGAGACAAGCUGCCCCCCUGCAGCCCAUGAAGGUCCACGGUGGAGCAGAGAUUCACUGCAGCCCAUGGAGGACCCCACACCAAAGCAGGUGGGUGCCCGAAGGAGUCUGUGACCCCGUGAGAAGCCCACAGUGGAAUAGGGCCCUGUCAGGACCUGUAGCCUUGGGGAGAGAGGAGCCCAUGCUGGACCAGGUUUGCUGGCAGGACUUGUGACUCUGCAGGGGACCCAUGCUGGAGUGGUAGCCCAUUAGAAGGACUGACAUUGGAGAAGUUCAUGGAGGACUGUCCUCUGUAGGAGGGACCCAUGCUGGAACAGGGGAAGAGUGGUAGAAGGAAGAAGCAGCAGAGACAAUGUUUGAUGAAGUGACUGUAGUACAGUACAAGUAUUAAACUCCUACAAAUCAGGACUGGAAUAAUCUCCUGCUUCUGUGCACGGCUUGUAGAACUGAU